rnacentral:rRNA from 1 species
UACGUGGGUGGCAAGCGUUGUCCGGAUUUACUGGGCGUAAAGAGCGCGCAGGCGGUCGUGCAAGUCGCGUGUGAAAGCCCCCGGCUCAACUGGGGAGGGUCACGCGAUACUGCUCGACUCGAAGGCAGGAGAGGGAAGUGGAAUUCCCGGUGUAGUGGUGAAAUGCGUAGAUAUCGGGAGGAACACCAGUGGCGAAGGCGACUUCCUGGCCUGUUCUUGACGCUGAGGCGCGAAAGCUAGGGUAGCAAACGGG